rnacentral:rRNA from 1 species
CGCAUGGUCUUAUUAUUAAAGAAUUUCGGUUAUCGAUGGGGAUGCGUUCCAUUAGGCAGUUGGUGAGGUAACGGCUCACCAAACCUUCGAUGGAUAGGGGUUCUGAGAGGAAGGUCCCCCACAUUGGAACUGAGACACGGUCCAAACUCCUACGGGAGGCAGCAGUGAGGAAUAUUGGUCAAUGGGCGCAGGCCUGAACCAGCCAAGUAGCGUGAAGGAUGACUGCCCUAUGGGUUGUAAACUUCUUUUAUAUGGGAAUAAAGUUUUCCACGUGUGGAAUUUUGUAUGUACCAUAUGAAUAAGGAUCGGCUAACUCCGUGCCAGCAGCCGCGGUAAUACGGAGGAUCCGAGCGUUAUCCGGAUUUAUUGGGUUUAAAGGGAGCGUAGGUGGACAGUUAAGUCAGUUGUGAAAGUUUGCGGCUCAACCGUAAAAUUGCAGUUGAUACUGGCUGUCUUGAGUACAGUAGAGGUGGGCGGAAUUCGUGGUGUAGCGGUGAAAUGCUUAGAUAUCACGAAGAACUCCGAUUGCGAAGGCAGCUCACUGGACUGCAACUGACACUGAUGCUCGAAAGUGUGGGUAUCAAACAGGAUUAGAUACCCUGGUAGUCCACACAGUAAACGAUGAAUACUCGCUGUUUGCGAUAUACAGUAAGCGGCCAAGCGAAAGCAUUAAGUAUUCCACCUGGGGAGUACGCCGGCAACGGUGAAACUCAAAGGAAUUGACGGGGGCCCGCACAAGCGGAGGAACAUGUGGUUUAAUUCGAUGAUACGCGAGGAACCUUACCCGGGCUUAAAUUGCAUUUGAAUA